UCAGAAGUGCUGGGCAGGGAAGGGGUUAAACCACAUUCCUCUGUAGGAAGCCCCCACAGCUUGUCAUAGUCAAGCCUGAGUCAGGUGUGAUUAAUAACUUUAAUGACUAUUAAUUAAGUACUAAGUAAUUACCAAGGAGGCUGUAGAAGCCUGGGUAGAAGAAAGAAGGGUUUGGGUUUUCCCUCCACUUCUAGGGGUCAAGGUGAGGUAGGUGGGCAGUGGCUGGAUGUGGCCCCUCACCUGUGCUUCGUUAAAGCCUGAGCAGGGCAUAGAGUGGCUGCAGCUGCUUUCCUCCUCUGCCUGCGUAUGGGAUGAGAAAUGAAAACCAGUACUUCUGUUUCUGGCUGCUUGACUCCCCAUUUCCAUAGCUUUGGCUUGUAGCAGGCUUGUGGUUGCCACGAUCAUGAAGACUUGCUGACGAGAGGGCGAAAAUGAAGGGAAGCCAUGCCAGCCUAGAGGGAACUAGUUCCUUAUCAAACAUCUCACAACGUCUCCUUACUUUUGGAUUUAAUAAACUUUGCAUUUUUGGAAAGAGCUCAUCAACAAAUUCAGCUGUUUUGCUGGUUGGGUCCAUCCCGCACAGGCAGAAAGCCCUUGGUUGACGUCCCUUUGCCACCUGCAUGCUCUGGGAUAGAGGAUGAUCCCUACACUGGGUUAUUAUACAACAUCAACUGCUGCAAAAAUGCUAAAACUAAAUCGUGGAGAAAGAGUAAGGUAACAGAGCUCCAAAGCUGCUAAUCUCAACGGAGAAAGUAGAAAAUCUUGUUAUUAUUAUACUUCUCCAACUCCAGAUCCCAGUGAGCCACGUCUAGGGAAGGGAGCAGGAAGAGGAGUGGAUUUGAGCUAUACGAAGAUUCUGAGCAUCUGCAGCAGUGAAAUGAAGAUUCACAAUUCCAGCCAAGCAAGAAUCUCCUGGGAGCAGCAAGAGCCUCUGAAGAAGCAAUAUUUGGAUGGGAAACUUAUGUCCUCCAAGCUGGCGAGUUGCAACACUGACACAGAUUUUUCUUGUCGCUGCAAAACUCUUCCUGUAGAAGAUGUCCCUGAGGAUUUGAAGAACAGUGAUUUGAAGUGAUUGCAUUGGGCACAGAAAACUCAGGAUUUGGAGCAUGGAAAGUACAAAUCCAGGGCAGCCAGAGGGGCUCCCACAGGGUCCCCAAAGGUUCCCCUGGGUAUCCCUUUGGAUGUCUUUGAGAAAACCUUUCCCUCUGCUCCCGAAGAAGAGGCUCCCAAAAGCAGCAAGAUGGGGGAGAGAUUCUUCUGGCACACCAAUAGGUCUAAAUUCAAGGAUUCAGAUUUUGCCCUUGCUUUUGCCACCACAAAUGAGAGCUGGAUCCCAACAAGUCUUAACUCCACAGAGCCGGCACUCAUUUCUGUAUGCCUGAGUCCUUCCUCCACCCUUGAAAGCCUUCUGUGAUCAGUGUAACUCUGCCCACCUGAGCAUUUCCCAGCUAUUUACAUAGGAAGAAAUGAGUGUUGCUUUUACUCUCUCUGACUCCCCAAGCUACAGGAAGCAAGGAACCAAGACAGAGGGAGUGGGGAGAGAUGUUCCUACUUCCCCUUGUGACUCUGCAGGCUGUCAGCAGCCUUGGGAGGACACUAACAGGAGGAGGAAGGCAGAUCCUGGUGGGUCCCCACAGGGAGUGAGCCUGGGUAGUGCAGGGAUUAUCUGCAGCAGCUUUUGUUUGGGUCUGAAAGGCAGCACUGAAGGCACUGCAGAGUGUUAUGGCAAUGUGAGGACACUGAAGCACUUCUCAAAGCACCCCUGUGGACCUAUUAAUUGCAAUAUUGGAUCUUUCGUCUUUUUCAGCAGGUUCCCAGCAAUAGGCAUGCAGCCAGCUUGGCUGGGGUUUUGUUUAUUUUCCAGUUAAUGUAGAAGCAGAAUCAAUUCCAGCUAACAAAGCUAGGAAUAUCAGGAAAAAAAAAAAAGUUCAAUUCCCAUGGAUCAUUUGUGGCAUACGCCUGGAAGAUAUUUACUGGUAGCAGGGCAAUUAGGGCAGUGAUAUGGCAGGGGACCAGGAACACCUCCCAGGAGUGGGUGUGAAUCAUAGGAAGCCCGUCAUCAGCAAAGGAGGAGAAGUACCUCUGCUGUGUUGAUUACCACUAGCUAGAUGGGGAAAUUGUGCUUGGAAGCAUGGCAGCACACACAAAACCUGGCUGCAAAUGCUCCCUGCGGCAGUUCUCCCCCCAGGGUGGUAAGAAGCAGCUGAGUGGUGCUCGUCUGACAUCAUCUUGCAAUAAGUGUUACAUGUGACUGCCCAAACUGAGUGACCAGCACUUGUUACCAACCCCAUUAAGCUUUAAGUGGCACUUUUGCCUUGCUCCUUGCUCACUCCUGCUGGGCUUGGGUUAUUUAGCACAUGGGCUCUGGCCAUGUGGUCCAACUGGAGCAUAAACUGCCAGAAACAUAAACACUUGUUCACUUUGCCACUGCCAGAUUUCCCUCACCUUCGUCAGGACAUUGAUGCCAAGAGCAUUAUGUGAAUUCUUGUCAGGAGCAUCUGUGAGUUAUGGAUAUCAAUAUCCAGUGACUUUCUAUAGGUCACAUUUUUUGGCCCCACCAACACACAGCACCACUCUGGGGCUGCCCAGCGCACCUGCUAUGUCCCUGGGGGAUAUUGAACAGACAUAACAUUCAGAGCAUUUGCCUUUUUCAGCAACUUCAGUGGGGUUUCUCUAUGUGCCACCCUUUGGGUUCUGCAGGUCCCUGCUUACCAUGCUCAAACCCUUUGCAUUUAUCUUCUCAGUGUUUCCUUAUUUUUAG
ensembl:lncRNA